rnacentral:rRNA from 1 species
UACGUAGGUGGCAAGCGUUGUCCGGAUUUAUUGGGCGUAAAGAGCGUGUAGGCGGUUUGGUAGGUCCGUUGUGAAAACUCGAGGCUCAACCUCGAGACGCCGAUGGAAACCAUCAGACUAGAGUCCGGAAGAGGAGAGUGGAAUUCCUGGUGUAGCGGUGAAAUGCGCAGAUAUCAGGAAGAACACCCGUGGCUAAGGCGGCUCUCUAGUACGGUACUGACGCUGAGACGCGAAAGCGUGGGGAGCGAACAGG